rnacentral:rRNA from 1 species
UACGUAGGGUGCAAGCGUUAAUCGGAAUUACUGGGCGUAAAGGGUGCGUAGGCGGUUCGUUAAGUCUGUUGUGAAAUCCCCGGGCUCAAUCUGGGAAUGGCAAUGGAUACUGGCGGGCUAGAGUGUGUCAGAGGAUGGUGGAAUUCCCGGUGUAGCGGUGAAAUGCGUAGAGAUCGGGAGGAACAUCAGUGGCGAAGGCGGCCAUCUGGGACAACACUGACGCUGAAGCACGAAAGCGUGGGGAGCAAACAGG